rnacentral:rRNA from 1 species
AUUGCUCUCAUCCCUAAAAAGUUGGUUCCUCAAGUUCCUACUGAUUAUCGUCCAAUCAGCCUUUGUAAUGUUAUUUAUAAGAUCAUUGCUAAAUCUUUGGCUAAUAGGCUCAAACCGCACCUGCCUGAUUACAUUGAACCAACUCAGCAAGCUUUCAUUAAGGGGCGUAGAAUUAGCGAUAACAUCAUCAUU